GACGAACGCUGGCGGCGUGCUUAACACAUGCAAGUCGAGCGGUAAGGCCCUUUCGGGGGUACACGAGCGGCGAACGGGUGAGUAACACGUGGGUGACCUGCCCUCAGCUCUGGGAUAAGCCUGGGAAACCGGGUCUAAUACCGGAUAUGACUCCAUGACGCAUGUUGUGGGGUGGAAAGCCUUGUGCGGCUGAGGAUGGGCCCGCGGCCUAUCAGCUUGUUGGUGGGGUGAUGGCCUACCAAGGCGACGACGGGUAGCCGGCCUGAGAGGGCGACCGGCCACACUGGGACUGAGACACGGCCCAGACUCCUACGGGAGGCAGCAGUGGGGAAUCUUGCGCAAUGGGCGAAAGCCUGACGCAGCGACGCC
rnacentral:rRNA from 1 species